CCUAAGACAUCCACAUGUCCACUUAGUGCCCCCAGGGGAGCCUCUCUCUAGUACAGUAGUCCUCACUCUUAUUCCUGGACCCCUAAUUUUCUACAUUUCAGGGCUUGGGACUGAACCAGUUGGAAGUGAAAACACCUCCACGGCCAUUUCUAUCAGUCUGGUUAUGUAACCCCUAGUUUUAAAGGCAGGAUGAUUCACCAAACAGCCUGGCUCAGGGAAUCUGGACUGAGAGGCCCUUGGGGAGGGUAAUCCAUCAGAGGAUCCUAAGCUAGGACUGGGGGCCUACCCUGGUAGAUGUGGCCAGAAAUACAAAGGAGAAGGUGUCUGCUGGCAACACUGCACUAGCACAAUAUAGCUCUACCAGGUCUAACGUGCAGCAGCCAUAUCAAGACUGAGCCCCGGGGGUAGACUUCAGGCUCCCUGAUCCCCUCCACACUCCAGCUUUGGGAUCAUCAGCAACCAUACACAUCUAUUGUUUCAGAUGCAGAGCCUCAUAAUACACAUUCCUGCUUCUCAUGAUUGUGGGAAUCAGGACUUCAGGAAGGGCCCAGUGAGGUCUUCUCGUUCACAGUGUCUCUUGAGGGGAAAGAAGCUGACCUGCUGGUGAGUCCUCAUCCAUGUGCUUUGGCCUAUAGAACAUGACUCAAAAGCAGAUCCAUGGGGAGAAACAAAAAUAAUAGGAAGAGAGUAAAGAGAGAGCAGAAAGGUAUACAGACAGAGGUCGGAGGCAUGUUCCAGAAUCUUUUAGGCAGGCAAACAAUGUUUCUUCAUCACUGUGAAGUCUCCAUUCCAGGGAAGAGCACCAACCAGAAAGUUGCAAAAUGUUCUCUGAAAAAGACCACCACCACAAUGAAGUCAGUAGUGUGCUGAAAGAAAAAGAAACGACCUGUCCUAUUCCUAGGUGUCAGCUUAGCAAUAUGCUGGCAGACCAGCCACAGCCCAACAAGGACUGCCUCAGGAGCCUGCUAGCUGGAUGCUGCAAUGC